AAUAUACUCCCUCCGUCCCAAAAUUCUUGUCUUAGAUUUGUCUAGAUGCAUCCGUAUUUAGACGAAUCUAAUACUAAAACGUGACUUGAUACAUCCGUAUUUAGACGAAUCUAAGACAAGAAUUUUGCGACGGAGGGAGUAGUAG
rfam:Triticum aestivum genome assembly, contig: Triticum_aestivum_CS42_TGACv1_scaffold_513463_6BS